CGCACAUUGCGCCCUUUGGUAUUCCGAAGGGCAUGCCUGUUUGAGUGUCAUAUAGACUCAUCUAAUCAGAUUUUUCUGAUCUAGGUGCUUUGGACGUCUGCCGAUUCUGGCUCGUCUUAAAUGUCUAAGUGGAAUGCGUAAUAAGUUUUCGCUCCCUCCACUCUAAUACCUUUUAUCUCUGACCUCAAAUCAGGUAGGACUACCCGCUGAACUUAA
rnacentral:misc_RNA from 1 species